rnacentral:lncRNA from 1 species
GAGGCACAUUCGGCCCCCGAACGUGGCCUGGCCAGCCACCUAUAAAAGGGUCCCUUAGGUCCGCACGGGCGAGCUUUUUCUUCCCCGUUGUCGGCCAAGGUGAGUCUCCGCCACCCCUCCCUCGAUCUUGAGUGUUUUCCUUAGAUCUUCCAUGAUUUUCACGGGUUUUAACUUCUGUUUUGAAGAUCUGUGAGUAAAGAGCAAGUUUUGGGUAC